CUCCCCUGCCCCGCGGUUAAAGCCAGAGUUGGGACCAGCAGGCCGGAGGAAAGCGGAGGAAGCUUCUAGGCGGGAUUCCCUGCGUGGCCAGGCUCUAUAUAGAGCCUGGCUGGGCCUCAGCCCAGGUCCCAGCCUCAGGUGCCCAGUGAGGCCAGCAAAGGCCUCCUUGCCCUCUGUGUGGGCACACAGAAACGGCGCGAAGGCCCCCUAAUCGGAUCUCAUAAGCUCUGGUUGCCGACCCGCGGAGUAAGAACGCAAGGCCGCCGCCAUCCGGUCGUGAUCAUAACCGAGGCCUUGUCUGCAGCGGCACACCAGGCCCAGAUCCACAGCCCCCGACAGCUGUGCCACGCGAGCCCUUCCUUGGCAGAUUCCGACCACAACUUGAGCACGCAGAAAAAUAAAUAAAUAAAUAAGAACCCCGUCCCAGGCUCUCCCAAGCCAGCCCUGGGUCCCUCCCGGAGGAAGAGAUAGGAGGACAGGAAGUGGAGAUAGAAAACUGGGCACAGAGAGACCCAAGAUGAAAGACAAAUGAACGGAAGGAAAGAAAGAAGGAAGAAGUAAAGGUAAGGAUAAAGAAAAAGAAGAAAGAGGAAGAACGGAGGGUAGAAAAGAAGGAAGCAGAGUCAAAGGCGACUCCUGAGAGCAGAAGGCGGCUUACAGAGAGAAGGGGCUGGUUGUGUCCCAGCCUUGCAGGAGAAUGGCCUGGAGUCGGGGGAGGCCCAGAAUGGGAACGCGUGCCCCUGACCUUGAAUGGCUCCGGGACCAGAAUUCCUACCACGCCCCUGGCGUCCGCCGAGGAGCAGCUAACCUGAUCGUACCUGCUCGAGGCCAGGUGGGGAUGGGGAUUGCGGCCAACAGCUUGGCAAAGCGCUGAGAAGGAGGCAGGGACGAGGCUCCUGCGCGGGAAAAGCCGAGGUUGCCACCGCAGGCCUGGCACGACCAGGGCCCGGAUGCCCCGCCCGGCCCAGCCCCCGCGCGCACAGGUACCUGGAGACGAUUUCAACUGAAGUAAUGAAGGCAGUGUCGUGCUGUCGAGAGAAAGGUGGAUCCCAACAACAGGAAACUACCUAAAUCACCGACCAGUUCUGGUGCUGCCAGCGCGGGGCUGUCUCGCCCGCCGCCGCCGCCGCCGCCGCCGCCGCCGCCGCCACCGCCGCAGCCAAGGGAGAACCCUGCGAUCGCGCCCGGCGCGGCCCCUUGCCAACCUGCGCCCGCGCUGCCAGUGUGUGUCCCCCGCUGCCGCUAAGGCAUCGCGGCGGGAGAAGCCACCGACCCCGGUUUGACCCUUUUAUGCAUGUAACUUCACAGUAUAAAGGAAACCCAAACAAUGUCUCCCUUCUCUAGUCUAUUCCGCUUGCCCAGCGCUCC